UUAGGAAUUUUGGGCAAUGGGCGAAAGCCUGACCCAGCAACGCCGCGUGGGUGAUGAAGGCCUUCGGGUCGUAAAGCCCUUUUUCAGGGGAAGAUGAUGACGGUACCCUGAGAAUAAGCCCCGGCUAACUACGUGCCAGCAGCCGCGGUAAUACGUAGGGGGCAAGCGUUGUCCGGAUUUAUUGGGCGUAAAGCGCGCGUAGGCGGCGCGGUAUGUCGUGCGUGAAAUCUCCCGGCUUAACUGGGAGGGGCCGUGCGAAACUGCCGGGCUUGAGGUCGGAAGGGGAAAGUGGAAUUCCGGGUGUAGUGGUGGAAUACGUAGAUAUCCGGAGGAACACCAGCGGCGAAGGCGGCUUUCUGGUCCGAUACUGACGCUGAGGUGCGAAAGCGUGGGGAGCGAUCCGG
rnacentral:rRNA from 1 species